CCCUUAGAUGUUCUGGGCCGCACGCGCGCUACACUGGUACGUUCAACAAGUUUACAACCUUGACCGAAAGGUCUGGGUAAUCUUUUGAAUGCGUACCGUGCUAGGGAUAGAUUAUUGCAAUUAUUAAUCUUGAACGAGGAAUUCCUAGUAAACGCAAGUCAUCAGCUUGCAUUGAUUACGUCCCUGCCCUUUGUACACACCGCCCGUCGCACCUACUGAUUGAAUGACUCGGUGAAAAAUCGGGACUGCGAGAACAAUCGAUUAAUUUCGAAUGUACUUGUGGAACUUUUUUUAACCUCGCCAUUUAGAAGAAGGUGAAGUCGUAACA
rnacentral:rRNA from 1 species